rnacentral:rRNA from 1 species
CAGUCGCCGCGGGAAAACGGAGGAUCCAAGCGUUAUCCGGAUUUAUUGGGUUUAAAGGGUGCGUAGGCGGCCUAUUAAGUCAGGGGUGAAAGACGGUAGCUCAACUAUCGCAGUGCCUUUGAUACUGAUGGGCUUGAAUGUACUUGAGGUAGGCGGAAUGUGACAAGUAGCGGUGAAAUGCAUAGAUAUGUCACAGAACACCAAUUGCGAAGGCAGCUUACUAAAGUAUGAUUGACGCUGAGGCACGAAAGCGUGGGGAUCAAACAGGAUUAGAUACCCGCGUAGUCCCUGUCUCUUAUAC